ensembl:lncRNA
AUUAUGCCAAUCUGGCCAACAGGAAGCUAAUUUCUAUUCUGUAUUUUGUCAGAUGUGCAGAAUACAUAUGGUCAUCAUUGAAAAUAGGUGAAAGAUCUGCUCUAAUAUGGACACUAAGUGGUGCUGGAGGAUGAUCCUGACCCACAAUGAGCAGUGGGAACACCAGAGCCCUGUAGGGAUGGCUGGCAAGCUAACACAUUGAGCAUGCACAGCUCAGUAAAUUUCCUGUGAAUACACAUCUCCUGAGAUCUCUCUAUUUAAUUGGAGGUGAUCCUGUCCACCUAAUACAGCACAUCAUGUGGAAUAACAAAAGCUACCUGCAGGAGCUGUGGUGAUGACUCACAGGAUAGAGCAUCUGCUGCUCUCUCAGAAGAACCACAUGGACCAUAACAAUUGGGUGCUUCCUACACAAGAAGUCACAUGACCACAGAGUGUCAUUUGUCAAACAACCAAGAACUUGUUCAAAACUCUACAGAGCAUCCAAUCUAUCAUGUGGAUAUGCAAUAAUGAGAGGCCUGCAGACAGACGUCAUCCCCUGAAAAUGUCCUAAACAAGGUGCAGGCCAACGAGGAAGAGGAGAGGCUGAAUAGAGAACUGGAGCUAACUACCAAGGAGAGAAAUGAGCUGACAGAUCGCCUCCUUUAUGUGACAGGUGGAUCCAUGAGCAAGA